GACGAACGCUGGCGGCGUGCUUAACACAUGCAAGUCGAACGAAGUGGCGAACGGGUGAGUAACGCGUAAGCAACCUGCCCUUCAGAGGGGGACAACAGUUGGAAACGACUGCUAAUACCGCAUACUGAAGGAGGGGAUUGCGUGUGAUUAGCUAGUGGGAGGGGUAACGUCCCCCCAAGGCGAUGAGCAGGAGCCGGUCUGAGAGGAGUACCGGCCACAUUGGGACUGAUACACGGCCCAGACUCCUACGGGAGGCAGCAGUGGGGAAUCGUCCGCAAUUGACGAAAGUCUGACGGAGCAACGCCGCGUGAGUGAUGACGGCCUUCGGGUUGUAAAGCUCUGUGAAUCGGGACGCGGUACCGGAAUAGAAAGCCACGGCUAACUACGUGCCAGCCGCCGCGGUAAUAC
rnacentral:rRNA from 1 species